rnacentral:rRNA from 1 species
GAUGAACGCUGGCGGCGUGCUUAACACAUGCAAGUCGAACGAUGAAGCCCAGCUUGCUGGGUGGAUUAGUGGCGAACGGGUGAGUAACACGUGAGUAACCUGCCCUUGACUCUGGGAUAAGCCCGGGAAACUGGGUCUAAUACCGGAUAGGAGCGCCUGUCGCAUGACGGGUGUUGGAAAGAUUUUUCGGUCAUGGAUGGACUCGCGGCCUAUCAGCUUGUUGGUGAGGUAAUGGCUCACCAAGGCGACGACGGGUAGCCGGCCUGAGAGGGUGACCGGCCACACUGGGACUGAGACACGGCCCAGACUCCUACGGGAGGCAGCAGUGGGGAAUAUUGCACAAUGGGCGGAAGCCUGAUGCAGCGACGCCGCGUGAGGGAUGACGGCCUUCGGGUUAUAAACCUCUUUCAGUAGGGAAGAAGCGAAAGUGACGGUACCUGCAGAAGAAGCACCGGCUAACUACGUG